AGCAGCCGCGGUAAUUCCAGCUCCAAUAGCGUAUAUUAGAGUUGUUGCAGUUAAAAAGCUCGUAGUUGAAUUUCGGGAUCAGUACGCUGGUCGUGCCUUUGGUAUGUACUGGUGUCACUGAUUCCUCCCUUCUGAAGAACCGUUAUGCCAUUUAUUUGGUGUGGCGGGGAAUCAGGACUGUUACUUUGAAAAAAUUAGAGUGUUUAAAGCAGGCUCGCGCUUGAAUACAUUAGCAUGGAAUAAUGAAAUAGGACGUUUGAUUCUUAUUUUGUUGGUUUCUAGGAUCGACGUAAUGAUUAAUAGGGAUAGUUGGGGGCAUUAGUAUUCAAUUGUCAGAGGUGAAAUUCUUGGAUUUAUUGAAGACUAACUACUGCGAAAGCAUUUGCCAAGGAUGUUUUCAUUAAUCAAGAACGAAAGUUAGGGGAUCGAAGACGAUCAGAUACCGUCGUAGUCUUAACCAUAAACUAUGCCGACUAGGGAUCGGAUGAUGUUGUAUUUUUAAUGACUCAUUC
rnacentral:rRNA from 1 species